GACGAACGCUGGCGGCGUGCUUAACACAUGCAAGUCGAACGGAAAGGCCCUGCUUUUGUGGGGUGCUCGAGUGGCGAACGGGUGAGUAACACGUGAGUAACCUGCCCUUGACUUUGGGAUAACUUCAGGAAACUGGGGCUAAUACCGGAUAGGAGCUCCUGCUGCAUGGUGGGGGUUGGAAAGUUUCGGCGGUUGGGGAUGGACUCGCGGCUUAUCAGCUUGUUGGUGGGGUAGUGGCUUACCAAGGCUUUGACGGGUAGCCGGCCUGAGAGGGUGACCGGCCACAUUGGGACUGAGAUACGGCCCAGACUCCUACGGGAGGCAGCAGUGGGGAAUAUUGCACAAUGGGCGGAAGCCUGAUGCAGCAACGCCGCGUGCGGGAUGACGGCCUUCGGGUUGUAAACCGCUUUCGCCUGUGACGAAGCAUGAGCGACGGUAAUGGGUAAAGAAGCACCGGCUAACUACGUG
rnacentral:rRNA from 1 species